AGAGUUUGAUCCUGGCUCAGGAUGAACGCUGGCGGCGUGCCUAACACAUGCAAGUCGAGCGAGAAGUCAUGGAUGGAAUCUUCGGAGGAAAGAAAUGAUGGAAAGCGGCGGACGGGUGAGUAACGCGUAGGUAACCUGCCCCAUACAGAGGGAUAGCCACUGGAAACGGUGAUUAAUACCUCAUGACACUUUCUCUUCGCAUGGAGGGAAGGUCAAAGAUUUAUCGGUAUGGGAUGGACCUGCGUCUGAUUAGCUUGUUGGUGGGGUAACGGCCUACCAAGGCGACGAUCAGUAGCCGACCUGAGAGGGUGAUCGGCCACAUUGGAACUGAGACACGGUCCAAACUCCUACGGGAGGCAGCAGUGGGGAAUAUUGCACAAUGGGGGAAACCCUGAUGCAGCAACGCCGCGUGAAGGAAGAAGGCCUUUGGGUCGUAAACUUCUGUUCUGAGGGAAGAAGAAAGUGACGGUACCUCAGGAGAAAGCCCCGGCUAACUACGUGCCAGCAGCCGCGGUAAUACGUAGGGGGCAAGCGUUGUCCGGAAUUAUUGGGCGUAAAGAGUACGUAGGCGGUUUGCUAAGCGCAAGGUGAAAGGCAGUGGCUUAACCAUUGUAAGCCUUGCGAACUGACAGACUUGAGUGCAGGAGAGGAAAGCGGAAUUCCUAGUGUAGCGGUGAAAUGCGUAGAUAUUAGGAGGAACACCGGUGGCGAAGGCGGCUUUCUGGACUGUAACUGACGCUGAGGUACGAAAGCGUGGGGAGCAAACAGGAUUAGAUACCCUGGUAGUCCACGCCGUAAACGAUGAGCACUAGGUGUCGGGAUCGUAGGAUUUCGGUGCCGCAGUUAACGCAUUAAGUGCUCCGCCUGGGGAGUACGCACGCAAGUGUGAAACUCAAAGGAAUUGACGGGGGCCCGCACAA
rnacentral:rRNA from 1 species